CCUACGGGAGGCAGCAGUAGGGAAUCUUUCACAAUGGGCGAAAGCCUGAUGGAGCAACGCCGCGUGCAGGAUGAAGGCCUUCGGGUUGUAAACUGCUUUUAUAAGCGAGAAAUAUGAUGGUAACUUAUGAAUAAGGAUCGGCUAACUACGUGCCAGCAGCCGCGGUCAUACGUAGGAUCCGAGCAUUAUCCGGAGUGACUGGGUGUAAAGAGUUGCGUAGGUGGCAUAAUAAGUAGCUAGUGAAAUCUGGUGGCUCAACCAUUCAGACUAUUAGCUAAACUGUUAAGCUCGAGACCGUUAGGGGUAACUGGAAUUUCUAGUGUAGGAGUGAAAUCCGUAGAUAUUAGAAGGAACACCAAUAGCGUAGGCAGGUUGCUGGGACGGUUCUGACACUAAGGCACGAAAGCGUAGGGAGCAAACGGGAUUUGAUACCCGUGUAGUC
rnacentral:rRNA from 1 species